rnacentral:rRNA from 1 species
GAUGAACGCUAGCGGCAGGCUUAACACAUGCAAGUCGAGGGGCAGCACGGGUAGCAAUACCUGGUGGCGACCGGCGCAAGGGUGCGUAACGCGUGAGCAACAUGCCCUAUACAGGGGGAUAAUCCAGGGAAACUUGGUCUAAUAUCCCAUAGCAUUUAGAGGAGGCAUCUUCACUAAAUUAAAGCUUCGGUGGUAUAGGAUUGGCUCGCGUGACAUUAGCUAGAUGGUGAGGUAACGGCCCACCAUGGCUAUGAUGUCUAGGGGUUCUGAGAGGAAGACCCCCCACACUGGGACUGAGACACGGCCCAGACUCCUACGGGAGGCAGCAGUGAGGAAUAUUGGACAAUGGAUGGAAAUCUGAUCCAGCCAUGCCGCGUGCAGGAAGACGGCCCUAUGGGUUGUAAACUGCUUUUAUAUGGGAGCAAUAAGGUUUACGAGUAGACCGAUGAGAGUACCAUAUGAAUAAGCAUCGGUAACUCCG